rnacentral:rRNA from 1 species
UACACUCCUGCGGGAGGCAGCAGUGGGGAAUAUUGGACAAUGGGCGCAAGCCUGAUCCAGCCAUGCCGCGUGAGUGAUGAAGACCCUAGGGUUGUAAAGCUCUUUCACCGGUGAAGAUAAUGACGGUAACCGGAGAAGAAGCCCCGGCUAACUUCGUGCCAGCAGCCGCGGUAAUACGAAGGGGGCUAGCGUUGUUCGGAUUUACUGGGCGUAAAGCGCACGUAGGCGGACUAUUAAGUCAGGGGUGAAAUCCCGGGGCUCAACCCCGGAACUGCCUUUGAUACUGGUAGUCUUGAGUUCGAGAGAGGUGAGUGGAAUUCCGAGUGUAGAGGUGAAAUUCGUAGAUAUUCGGAGGAACACCAGUGGCGAAGGCGGCUCACUGGCUCGAUACUGACGCUGAGGUGCGAAAGCGUGGGGAGCAAACAGGAUUAGAUACCCGGGUAGUCCCAUG